rnacentral:rRNA from 1 species
AUACGUAGGGGGCGAGCGUUGUCCGGAAUGAUUGGGCGUAAAGGGCGCGUAGGCGGCCUGUUAAGUCUGGAGUGAAAGUCCUGUUUUCAAGAUGGGAAUUGCUUUGGAUACUGAUGGGCUUGAGUGCAGGAGAGGUUAUCGGAAUUCCCGGUGUAGCGGUGAAAUGCGUAGAGAUCGGGAGGAACACCAGUGGCGAAGGCGGGUAACUGGACUGCAACUGACGCUGAGGCGCGAAAGUGUGGGGAGCAAACAGGAUUAGAUACCCUGGUAGUCCACACUGUAAACGAUGAAUGCUAGGUGUAGGGGGUAUCGACCCCUUCUGUGCCGCAGUCAACACAAUAAGCAUUCCGCCUGGGGAGUACGGCCGCAAGGUUGAAACUCAAAUGAAUUGGCGGGG